rnacentral:misc_RNA from 1 species
ACCCAACACUGGCACUGCCGUACACUCACCAACAACUACACACGCGAUGAAGUCCGAGGGGCGAAGCAACGCCGGUUGACUGCUCGCGGUGCAGAAAAAGUGCGGACACGCAACUUACUGCGAUCCGAAGCCACAACGGAAGCACCUUUUGCCUUGGCCAAACCUUAUGCUACAAGUUACCACAACAAACAUGGCGGGGAGGAGAGCGGGCUCGCAAUCCCCCCAUGCUGCAACCUUUGGAGCCAUAAAACUAGCGAGGCAGCACAACGGCCAGUAAAAAUAGCCACCCACGAGGCUACCAAAAUGCCCACACCACGUACGAUUUCCAUGAGCCCUUCUUCGGAAGGGAUACACGAAAGCCAAGCAUCGAACCAAAAAGGCCGUGGCAGACUUUUUCCGGGCGUGCCAAGCACCGCGCAGAACCCCUGCCUACGCUCU